CCUACGGGCGGCUGCAGUGAGGAAUAUUGGUCAAUGGCCGGAAGGCUGAACCAGCCAUGCCGCGUGAAGGUCAGUGCCCUAUGGGCGUUAAACUUCUUUUGUGCGGGAGCAAUAAUGGUCACGUGUGGCCAGACGAGAGUACCGUACGAAUAAGCAUCGGCUAACUCCGUGCCAGCAGCCGCGGUAAUACGGGGGAUGCAAGCGUUAUCUGGAUUUAUUGGGUUUAAAGGGUGCGUAGGCUGUGAGGUAAGUCAGCGGUGAAAUGCCCCCGCUCAACGGGGUGAAGUGCCAUUGAUACUGCCUUGCUGGAAUGCGGAUGCCGUGGGAGGAAUGUGUGGUGUAGCGGUGGAAUGCAUAGAUAUCACACAGAACACCGAUUGCGAAGGCAUCUCACGAAUCCGCGAUUGACGCUGAUGCACGAAAGCGUGGGUAUCAAACAGGAUUAGAUACCCUGGUAGUC
rnacentral:rRNA from 1 species